AGAAAUUUUCCAUGUUUACAUGUAUUGAAUAUUUGUAUAUGCACUUGUUACUCGAUAUGCUAAAAAAUUAUUCAAAAACGUGUUUACAACCGUUGUUUAUGUCUGUUUAUAAGAUUUAACGAUUUUCAUGCAUUUGCCUUUUUAUGUCAUAGACAUUGCGUAUAUUUGAUUAAUUUAAUUCAACUGUAAUCUAACUUGUAAUUAACCUAACCUAACCUAAUUUAAUAAAACUAACCACGUAAAUUGUGCAGUGAUCACACGUUUCAUGCGGCGAAUUGAUGUUGCGAUGAGUUUAACACGUAUCUGCGAUGUUUUCAUUCAUCGAAACACGCGGUUUCAAGGCACUUUUGUCAGGAGACUUCUUGCUACGGAAUCGACAGAAGUGUCAAAAAAUGAAACAGUCGACAUAACCACUGCCGAUGAGGAACCUGUGUAUUCGAUGAUGGAUGAUCCACAGGUACAGGAAGAGAUCGCUAGGAAACGAAACAAAUCUCGGCUGAGUCCGCACGAUAGAAACAUUCUUAUGGGUUUGCGUCCUUACAACAAAUCUCUGGAAUGGUUUCAUAAUACUGUAAAAUACAAGAGACGUAUGCUGGGUAGAUAUGGAUUGAAAGGCAAUGAUGAACCGGUGGGAUUUGCGUGGCCUACGCAGAAAGAAGUAAAAAAUGCUCAAGAAUAUGAGACAGUUGCUUUCCCACUAUCUCUUCAAGAGAGGUGGAAAAAGCUGGAGCUGGAGAAACAGAGAAAGGCUGAAGAAGCUAAAAUAAGGGAAACUGAAAUAAUGGAGAAACUGGCAAAGAUGAAUCAAUGGACGGCUGAGUUGAAUGCAAAAGUAGCAAAGAAAGAAGCAGCUCUGCAGGCUGCUAAAUUGCGUAAAGAACGUCUGCUGGAAGAAGUCAGAAGACACUUUGGCUUCAGAAUUUCGUCUCAUGAUGAAAGAUUUAAGGAAAUGUUAGCACAGAAAGAGAAAGAAGAGAAGAAGAAAAAGAAAGAUGCUAAGAAGAAAGCAAGGCUGGAGAAGUUUUUAACUCACGAAUUAUCCGAAACCGAGAGUCAAGAACAAACAACUGACUCUACGAAAUCUGUAGAAUAAUAGCUUUUUGUGCAAUUAUUUUAAAGUAGAAUGUGCAUGUGUGGCCAAUGUGAUUAAACCGAGCUCGAGCGACGAUCGAACAGGUGAAGGUAUAGGGAGCAGUAAAUUGUGCGCAUUCGUGUUGAGGGCUGCAGCGAAGGAUAGCCGGAGGGUGAGGAGUUUAGUGCCAGGUGGUGCCAAGCAACGGGGGCAGUGGUACCAAUAGGUACCAUCUCAAACCAGCCCACCCUCGUCGAUUCACCCCCGACUUGCUCCUGUAAAUUCGUAGAAAAUCUCCUGCGCGGCUAAUACGUAAAUAAGAAAGACACUUUGUAUAUUUGAGAAAUGCAAUUUGUAAACAUUUCCUUCUUAGAUUUUUGACAUCUUAUCAUAUGAUUUUAAUUGUGAUUGCUCUUAAAUUGCGAUUCCGCCCGUAAAUUGCGAACUUAAAGGAGUAA